ensembl:lncRNA
CAAAGUGCUUCCUGCCAAGGUUUGGCUGAGAUGGUGGGGAAUGAAAAUGGCAUCUCUAAGCCUUGAAGCAGAGAUCUCUAUCAUGUCAAGAUCCUUCCCUAUGAAGUUCAGAGCCAAGCCUUGUCUUCAGGGGACACAGAGACUCCUGCUACACCACAGUCACAGCCCAGAGAAAAGUGACAGCAAACUCAAUGCUGUUCUCAGCUUAUCUGCCAAGACCGAUGUAAUGCUGAAGAAGCUGAAGUUCAAUGACAGAAGCAGAAAGGAAAAAUUGUUUCCUAUUUAAAAUCAAAUAAAUGAAGUAUGAAACUACCCACUCAUCUUGACUUUCAUGAAGAAGAUCAGCACACACAAAAAAAGCUGUAAUUCUUAUGUUCGCACAAAAAAUUACAGAGACCAUGACCUUACAGCACUUGCCUUUGCUCAUUGCUUGCCCUGUGCUCAACACAUUGCUGAGGGCCCUUCUUGCAGUUUGUGCAGCAUGGCAGGGAAGGUACAGCAGCUCCCAUGUCAACUGGGGAGAAGUAAAAUGUAAUGACAGCUCUGAUGAAACUGCAGUAGCAAAUGGCCGCUUGAACUGCCUCAAAGCUUGCAUG